rnacentral:lncRNA from 10 species
CUUUCAGAAAUAUUAGUGAACUGCUGUGAUGUAGAAGAGAUUGGAAAAACUGAGAAGAAUCUGCAGCUGCAGGAAACACAGUUGAAGAACUUUGCCUUUGAUUAUCAUCUUGCUGGUAGAACAGGUAUAGUAGCUGUUGCUAAUGAUGUUCCUGGGUGCCGCAGAAAACAUGCUCCAGAAAUCAACUUCAUUUGCCAAGUUUUAGGACUGACAAGAGAAAGUUGCUUUUUUAUAGUUAUUCAUUAAAAUUUUUAUUUUAUUUUAAGUGGAAUCUUAUGCAGCAUUC